CUGCAGCUGACAUCCGGAUCAUGCUCUCUCUACUGGUUGUGAAUUAACAUAGGUGAAGUUGGAGUCGCAGGGGUCCCUUCUACAUCACAAGUCAAUUUGAGCUGGAACAGUUGCUAAAAGACUUUAACGGGAUAAACAAAGAAGUGGCUUAACUUGAGAUUUUAAGUCAAGCACUUCCAUGAAUAUCCAUCAAGAACCUUGAAGGAAGGA